GAGGCCAUCUUGGAUGAUUUACUGAGGCUUCACGACAUAUUAACAUCAUAUGUGCUCUAUGCGAAUAGACGUAGGACAUAUGUUCUAUGGAAAGGAGUCUCCGACUUGGAUAUCCGAUCUCGGGGCGUCGAAACUGCAGGCACGUAACUGGGAAAUUCCCUGUUCCGAGUACAACUGGAACGCACCCUCGAUGGCUGAUCCGAUAGUAAAUACGCUCGAUGCCUCCACGUACAGUGUGGAUGAGGACUGCAAAACCGUGGCGAGCCUGGUCGUAGUUCUUGAUGGUGAGUCGGAGACAGGGCUGGAAGGCAAAAGAGAAAAGAGGACAGCGCUGACUCCCUCGGCCCAUCGCCUUCCCUGCCAGACUGUGAGAAGUUUGACAGGGCCCAGACUCUCUACCUCAUAGACGUCAUGCGCCAAUACUUGCAGACAGAGGCAGGUGGUCGUCCGAGAACUCUUAAGGAACUUCACUCAUGUCUCAGAGCUGCAAGGUCAAACAUGAAGGUCCUGUGGAAGGAGACAGCGGCUAAACUCAGCACCAGGUUUAACAAGCCAUUCUGCCCUGAUAAAGUUGCCAGAAAGUGGAACACCCUUCUGGACGGUUACAAAAAAAUAAAAGUCAGUAACAGGGCAAAAGGAAGUCGGGCCAUUCGUUUCAAAUUUUAUAGUGAGAUGGAUUCAUUAUUUGGAGAGCAGCAUGACGUGGUCUUCCCGGUUGUUGGGACACACGUGGGACUUGACAUGAGGAGACCAGAGAUGAUUGCGCCUCCAUUUAUAGCGACAGCUCGAGCUGAGCCUGCCGCUUGCUCCAGCACUGAGCCGCCGCAGACACCCUGCACUGCGCCGCGACAAAAGCGACAGAGGGAGGAUGACAUCCUGCGCUACCUGCGAGAGUCUGAGGCAGCCAGUCAGAGGCGCCAUGAAGAGCUACUGGCCCAACUGCAAUCGUCCCAGAAAGGGUUUGAGAGCCUCAUGAAUCGGCUGAUCGACAAACUUUGAAGUUUGCUCUCAAUUUGUUUUCUUUUGUGCACUGUGUUGAAUUGUGUAAUAAAUGACAAAACUAUA